rnacentral:rRNA from 1 species
UGGGAAUCUUCGGCAAUGGGCGCAAGCCUGACCGAGCAACGCCGCGUGAGUGAUGAAGGUUUUCGGAUUGUAAAGCUCUGUCUUCCGGGACGAUAAUGACGGUACCGGAGGAGGAAGCCACGGCUAACUACGUGCCAGCAGCCGCGGUAAUACGUAGGUGGCGAGCGUUGUCCGGAAUUACUGGGCGUAAAGGGCGCGUAGGCGGCCUGUCAAGUCAGAUGUGAAAUCCCCGGGCUUAACCCGGGAACUGCAUUUGAAACUGGCGGGCUUGAGGGCAGGAGAGGAAAGCGGAACUCCCAGUGUAGCGGUGAAAUGCGUAGAUAUUGGGAGGAACACCAGUGGCGAAGGCGGCUUUCUGGACUGUCACUGACGCUGAGGCGCGAAAGCCAGGGGAGCGAAC